UACGGAGGGAGCGUAGCGUUAUUCGGAAUUACUGGGCGUAAAGCGCGCGUAGGCGGCUUUGUAAGUUAGAGGUGAAAGCCCGGGGCUCAACCCCGGAACUGCCUUUAAAACUGCAUCGCUUGAAUCCAGGAGAGGUGAGUGGAAUUCCGAGUGUAGAGGUGAAAUUCGUAGAUAUUCGGAAGAACACCAGUGGCGAAGGACG
rnacentral:rRNA from 1 species